rnacentral:rRNA from 1 species
CCUACGGGGGGCAGCAGUGGGGAAUAUUGCACAAUGGGGGAAACCCUGAUGCCGCGACGCCGCGUGAGCGAUGAAGUAUUUCGGUAUGUAAAGCUCUAUCAGCAGGGAAGAAAAUGACGGUACCUGACUAAGAAGCCCCGGCUAACUACGUGCCAGCAGCCGCGGUAAUACGUAGGGGGCAAGCGUUAUCCGGAUGUACUGGGUGUAAAGUGAGCGUAGACGGCGAUGCAAGCCAGAUGUGAAAGCCCGGGGCGCAACCCCGGGACUGCAUUUGGAACUGUAGAGCGGGAGUGUCGAAGAGGUAGGCGGAAUUCCUAGUGUAGCGGUGAAAUGCGUAGAUAUUAGGAGGAACACCAGUGGCGAAGGCGGCCUGCUGGACGAUGACUGACGUUGAGGCUCGAAAGCGUGGGGAGCAAACAGGAUUAGAUACCCUGGUAGUC